CGCUCAUUUACGUAGUCUCACGUUCUCGUUCAUCCUUCCGCAGUGUCCACGCAAUCGUCGAAGAGGAGCAGCAAAAGCUGCUAACGUAAACGUAAUGGCGUAAUAUUAUUGCCCAAAAGAAACACCAACCAAAGCUUGCCAACAACAUGUAGGAGGAUACAACUUGCAUUUCAGCUCAAGUGCUCUGUGCUCCAACGCUAAGCAGCAACAACACAACAGGAACAAAAACAAAACAGAUCGAAUAACUGAAGUUCUUCUUUAAAUGCAAUAAUCUAAAUGGAAAGCAAAUUGGCCCCACAGGCUCGACUUACCUGUGAUGACGAGACGACCCUUGGUGGCGCUCAGACGUGUCUCUCCGGUCAGACGAUGCUUGGUGCGGCACUGGUAGCUCUU